rnacentral:misc_RNA from 1 species
AACGGUCUAUACCUGCGGUACCUGCGGAAGGAUCAUUACCGAGUUUACAACUCCCAAACCCCAUGUGAACAUACCUGUUUCGUUCCCUCGGCGGUGUCCGGCAACGGCCCGCCAGAGGACCCAACAAACUCUUUUGAAUUUUUCAGUAUCUUCUGAGUGAAAAAAACAAUAAAUCAAAACUUUUAACAACGGAUCUCU